rnacentral:rRNA from 1 species
AUUGAACGCUGGCGGCAGGCUUAACACAUGCAAGUCGAACGGUAACAUAAAGAAGCUUGCUUCUUUGAUGACGAGUGGCGGACGGGUGAGUAAUGCUUGGGAAUCUAGCUUAUGGAGGGGGAUAACUACGGGAAACUGUAGCUAAUACCGCGUAGUAUCGAGAGAUGAAAGUGUGGGACCUUCGGGCCACAUGCCAUAGGAUGAGCCCAAGUGGGAUUAGGUAGUUGGUGAGGUAAAGGCUCACCAAGCCGACGAUCUCUAGCUGGUCUGAGAGGAUGACCAGCCACACUGGGACUGAGACACGGCCCAGACUCCUACGGGAGGCAGCAGUGGGGAAUAUUGCGCAAUGGGGGCAACCCUGACGCAGCCAUGCCGCGUGAAUGAAGAAGGCCUUCGGGUUGUAAAGUUCUUUCGGUAGCGAGGAAGGCAUUUAGUUUAAUAAACUAAGUGAUUGACGUUAACUACAGAAGAGCACCG